AACGAACGCUGGCGGCAUGCCUAACACAUGCAAGUCGAACGAAGUCUUCGGACUUAGUGGCGCACGGGUGCGUAACGCGUGGGAAUCUGCCCUUGGGUGCGGAAUAACUUCUCGAAAGGGAUGCUAAUACCGCAUAAUGUCGUAAGACCAAAGAUUUAUCGCCCAAGGAUGAGCCCCGCGUAAGAUUAGCUAGUUGGUGGGGUAAAAGCCUACCAAGGCGACGAUCUUUAGCUGGUCUGAGAGGAUGAUCAGCCACACUGGGACUGAGACACGGCCCAGACUCCUACGGGAGGCAGCAGUGGGGAAUAUUGGACAAUGGGCGAAGCCUGAUCCAGCAAUGCCGCGUGAGUGAUGAAGGCCCUAGGGUUGUAAAGCUCUUUUACCAGGGAUGAUAAUGACAGUACCUGGAGAAUAAGC
rnacentral:rRNA from 1 species